rnacentral:rRNA from 1 species
UACGUAGGGGGCAAGCGUUGUCCGGAUUCAUUGGGCGUAAAGAGCUCGUAGGCGGUUCAGCAAGUCGGGUGUGAAACCUCCAGGCUCAACCUGGAGACGCCACCCGAUACUGCUGUGACUUGAGUCCGGUAGGGGACCACGGAAUUCCUGGUGUAGCGGUGAAAUGCGCAGAUAUCAGGAGGAACACCGGUGGCGAAGGCGGUGGUCUGGGCCGGUACUGACGCUGAGGAGCGAAAGCGUGGGGAGCGAACAGG